rnacentral:lncRNA from 1 species
CAGAUGAAAUAAUUGAUUAUUUAAGAUCAAUUUUUUUUAUACCAAGAUAUUUGUUGGCAAUUAAACUACAAUCGAAAUGGGUCUAUCAUCUUAGAAUGUUGGAAAUCUAGAAUCUCACAAGAGCCAAUUGUAAUCUAAUUAAACUAACAAAAAGAUGUAAAUAUAAAAUUAAUAUUAAAUCAAUCUAAUGCAAAUCUAAAUCAAGUUAAAGC